CAAGACCUAUAAAACUCUAAUCUAUAUCUCCUGAAUGCAACUCAGACACUUUCAUUAAGCUAAAGCCUU
rnacentral:tRNA from 1 species